UACGAAGGGGGCUAGCGUUGCUCGGAAUCACUGGGCGUAAAGCGCACGUAGGCGGAUUGUUAAGUCAGGGGUGAAAUCCUGGAGCUCAACUCCAGAACUGCCUUUGAUACUGGCGAUCUCGAGUCCGGGAAAGGUGAGUGGAACUGCGAGUGUAGAGGUGAAAUUCGUAGAUAUUCGCAAGAACACCAGUGGCGAAGGCGGCUCACUGGCCCGGUACUGACGCUGAGGAGCGAAAGCGUGGGUAGCAAACAGG
rnacentral:rRNA from 1 species